rnacentral:RNase_P_RNA from 1 species
CAACCUUUCUCGUAACGUUUCGCGUUUACCCGCCUACAAACAGAGGGCCUUAGCGGCCUCUCACUAAAUUAGCGGGUGGGAAAUUCGGUGGUUCUCCCCAUCCUAGGGGACUCUGUCCCUAAAUUAAUACUCUUGAGAGUGUCCUUAGCGUGAAAACGCCGGGCAAUGCCAUAAGAAAGCAGCAGAAUUUAUUCUGCAUGGGAGGCAUUGCGGAUGGUUGGUCUUUUAUUAUGAGAAAAGGCUAUUGAGUGCAAUAUGCGAACUUGAUUUAUUCAAAUUAAGCACCCGAUACCGAUCAUCGUUGUGAGUAAGGUUAU